CUGAAUCGGCUGGGGCUCGCGCAGGUGAAGGUGAGCCAAUCUCCGCGCGGCGCUCCAAACACUACACUUUCGGUUUCAGCGGCCCGCGGACCGGAAGAGGAAGUUGGGAGCGCUAGGCGCGCAGGGGAUGCUGGGAGUCGUGGUUCCGGCGGCCGGCGCACGGGUCUCUCUCUCCGUCCCCGCGGCGAACCGCUCGGCAAAUACAAUCCAUUACAUACAUGGUCUCUGGCAAGAGGACUUAACACAGUUUGCUGUAUACAUUCUUUGGCAAAAGACCCUGUGAGCCAAGCAUCCCCUGAAGGGAACUGAUACUACCCCUUCAAGCAGUAAGGGCUGCACUGAACCAGCAAGACCCCACCCAUGACAAUGAAGACCUGACCUUUACUGCCCACCUGCAAGUACCUACUUACCUUUGUCCCACAUUUUCCUGGUAUAAACCUAGAAGUAUUUUUGGCACUUUGGAGAAAGUCUUUGAGAUGUUAGUCUGCCGUCUUUGUCUUCCAGUGUUGGGCUCACUGAGAUAAAUUCCUUUCUUAUUUCAUCUCCACUCAUCUCUUUGCAUUUUUUAAAUAAGUUUAUUUAUUUUGAAAGGGAGCGUGAGAGAGCGUGUGCUCAUGGGAGCAGAAGAGGGGCAGAGAGCAACAGGAAGAGAAAGAAUCCCAAGCAGGGUCCAUGCUGUCAGUGUGGAGCCCAACUUGGGACUCAGUCUCAUGAACCAUGAAAUCAUGGCCUGAGUAGAAAUCAAGAGUCUGAGGCUUAACUAUCUGAGCCGCCCAGGUGCCGCAUCUCUCUGCAUUUGGGUUUUGUCAGUGGUUAGUGGCUGAGCCUGGUCUGUUUGGGACCCCGUGAAACCAGGUGUUCUUGCACCCCUGCAAUCCCUGAUGUGGUCUGAAGUGGGGUU